rnacentral:rRNA from 1 species
CCCCAGCGCCACGAGUGGGAGCCACGAUUAUUGGGCCUAAAGCGUCCGUAGCCGGCCUGUCAAAUCUCUUGUGAAAUCGACUCGCUUAACUUGUCGUCGAGCAGGGGACACUAACAGGCUUGGGACUGGGAGGGGUCAGAGGUAUUCCUUGGGGAGCGGUAAAAUGUGAUAAUCCUUGGAAGACCACCUGUGGUGAAGGCGUCUGACCAGAACAGAUCCGACGGUGAGGGACGAAAGCCAGGGGAGCAAAACG